rnacentral:rRNA from 1 species
CCUACGGGAGGCAGCAGUGGGGAAUUUUGGACAAUGGGCGAAAGCCUGAUCCAGCCAUUCCGCGUGCAGGAUGAAGGCCCUCGGGUUGUAAACUGCUUUUGUACAGAACGAAAAGGUUUCUAUUAAUACUAGGAGCUCAUGACGGUACUGUAAGAAUAAGCACCGGCUAACUACGUGCCAGCAGCCGCGGUAAUACGUAGGGUGCAAGCGUUAAUCGGAAUUACUGGGCGUAAAGCGUGCGCAGGCGGUUAUAUAAGUCAGAUGUGAAAUCCCCGGGCUCAACCUGGGAACUGCAUUUGAGACUGUAUAGCUAGAGUACGGUAGAGGGGGAUGGAAUUCCGCGUGUAGCAGUGAAAUGCGUAGAUAUGCGGAGGAACACCGAUGGCGAAGGCAAUCCCCUGGACCUGUACUGACGCUCAUGCACGAAAGCGUGGGGAGCAAACAGGAUUAGAUACCCUGGUAGUCCACGCCCUAAACGAUGUCAACUGGUUGUUGGGUCUUAACUGACUCAGUAACGAAGCUAACGCGUGAAGUUGACCGCCUGGGGAGGACGGCCGCGAGUAGUAACGUACGAAGUAGUAGUAGCGNGNGAGAGCGACGACGACGACGACGGAGGGAGGAG